GACGAACGCUGGCGGCGUGCUUAACACAUGCAAGUCGAACGGUGAAGGGACCGGUCUUUGCUGGUUCUGGAUGAGUGGCGAACGGGUGAGUAACACGUGAGUAACCUGCCCCCUUCUUCUGGAUAACCGCAUGAAAGUGUGGCUAAUACGGGAUAUUCUGCGCCUGCUGCAUGGUGGGUGUGGGAAAGAUAUUGUUUCGGUGGGGGAUGGGCUCGCGGCCUAUCAGCUUGUUGGUGGGGUGAUGGCCUACCAAGGCGGUGACGGGUAGCCGGCCUGAGAGGGUGGGCGGUCACACUGGGACUGAGACACGGCCCAGACUCCUACGGGAGGCAGCAGUGGGGAAUAUUGCACAAUGGGCGCAAGCCUGAUGCAGCGACGCCGCGUGAGGGAUGGAGGCCUUCGGGUUGUAAACCUCUUUCGCCAGUGAAGCAGGCCUGUCCCUUUUGUGGGUGGGUUGACGGUAGCUGGAUAAGAAGCGCCGGCUAACUACGU
rnacentral:rRNA from 1 species